GUCAAGAUGGAGACCAAGGAAGAAAGUAUGAAGGAGCUAAAGUUACAGGUCAUGAAGAAGCAAGAGGAGGUCAGUGAGAUGCAGGUCAGAAUCGGACUCCUGGAGAAGAAGCUGGAAAAUGCUACAAAAGACGGAGACAGUAGACUUGAAAAAAUUCAGAGAAAGCAUGAUGAGCUCCUUGCUCAGCUCAGAAAGAAAGAAAAGGAGUUUGAGGAGACUAUGGACACUCUUCAACAAGACAUCGAUACCUUGGAACAGGAAAAAAUUGAACUCAAAGAGAGGCUGAAAAUUCUCUCAAAAAAAACUUUAAUUGAGGGAAUCACAAGACAAGCCAAACAUCCAGCACAAAAUCUGGGGUCACCAGUUCAUUCAGAGGAAGGAUACCUCCUCCAGGAUUCUCCUUAUUUCACUCAACAGGUAAAAUCUUUAAGAGAGGCUUUGAAGUCUGUGAAAGAUGAAAAUGUCAGAUUGAAAGCAGAUAGAACGAAAGAACAAAUGGCAAAGCUUUCUCCUUUGAGGGUUCCAAAAAAAGCCUUUGAACUUCGUAAAAAUUCAGGCUCAUUUAAAGAAGUGAAUAUACCAGUGGGCAUCCAAGGGAAAGAUCAACUUAACAACUUGCGAAAGGACACUGCCAAAUUACUGGAGGAAGUUAACAUGAUGUGUGCUUGCCCAAAAGUAAUAGACAUCAGCAAACGAAAACCAGGACAGGAACCUCUGACUGAGUUGGGGAACCCAGCUAGGGAGCUGGUAGCCAGAACUGCUCGAUUGACAUUGAUGGGAAGGAAAACCCAACAGCUACAAGUUCAAGUCACAAAUCUUCUGGCUGCCAAUAGGACUGGGGGUCAAGUCAGAACAGAUUUGUCUACUUUUCCUACUCCAGAGUUUGCUAGAUAUUACCAUCAGUCAUACAACUGCGUGCUUGGCUUAGUGAAUCCAUGGAGGAUUACUACUUACGUACAUACUGAUGUUGCUUGAAAAGAGUGCAGAGAGUCAGUUGAUUGGUCGCAUCUCAAUACCGACUAAAUUAGGACAAGAGGAUAGAAUUCCAUUGAACCUUCAGCCCUCAAGUUUCAAGGAUAUUCAUGCUGCUUUUUUGCAUAUGUAAAUUGUAUAAAAAUUACAACCAAAAAACUGUUCGAAUGCAUGCUUAAUUCUUCUUGGUGGCUGUUUCUGUGCAAUGUUGUUUUUUAAAUCGAAUUUUCAUUAUAAACAAUAUAUUAACAAUUACAUUGUAUAUAUAAACAAUUGGUGAUAUUUUUCGGGUUUUUCAAUUUAUCCAGGACCCUUCAAAUUGCUUCAAUACAUGUUCUUAUGAAACCAACAUAUUCAUUAUAAAGAGCACUGAUGUUUGAUCAAAUAUAUUUGACAAUGAUGUUAUAUCUACAUGAACAAUUAUUAUGAGAAAUGUUAAUACUUGCAGAAACUGAAUAAGCUGUUCUAACGUUUGGUAUUUGAGGAACACGAAGUACUGAUUUUUCAAAUUUUAUGUGAAUUAGAACCUUUACAUGCAUGUUUAAAAUUUGAUAUGUUAAACAUUCGCCCAUAUUGUUUUUUGAACAGGUGAUUUACUAGUGUAUGCCACUUAGUACUCUUUUUGAACAAAUGUAUAGUAAUGAUUUUGAUUUUCAAAUUCCUAUUUUUUUCAAUUUAAGACUGCUAAAGGGUUAAUCUUAGGAAGGGAGUCAUAUCAGGGUUCUCACAAAUCAAAUUUUCUUUUGAAUGUUAUGUCUUACAUACAAUCGUACAAUCUGAAUAGAAAUAAGCUGACCCAAGUUAAACUAAUCACUACUCGUAAAAGGCAUAUUCUUCCAUAUUUCUCUUUCUCGCUAUCACUACAACGCCUAUAUUAAGCCCCUGUCACACUGUCACAAUUUAGAGCUACGGCAGUGUACAAAUUCAAUAAUCAUACAUAUUCAGGAUUCAUCAGAGAUAGUUGAAGGCUUUCUUUCUUUAUCUCAUCUUCAUCAAAUUGCCAAAUGCGGGAAUUGUUUUAAACAUGUUCAAAACAAUUGUGCCCAGAGUAUGAUUUUUUUGUACACUCUCGCACGGCACUCGCACUGCACUCCUGCACAUAGUCGCAAUAAAUCACAGGAUGA
rnacentral:misc_RNA from 1 species